rnacentral:rRNA from 1 species
CCUACGGGAGGCUGCAGUGAGGAAUAUUGGUCAAUGGACGAGAGUCUGAACCAGCCAAGUAGCGUGAAGGAUGACUGCCCUAUGGGUUGUAAACUUCUUUUAUAAAGGAAUAAAACGAGGCACGUGUGCCGUUUUGCAUGUACUUUAUGAAUAAGGAUCGGCUAACUCCGUGCCAGCAGCCGCGGUAAUACGGAGGAUCCGAGCGUUAUCCGGAUUUAUUGGGUUUAAAGGGAGCGUAGAGGGGUUGUUACGUCAGUGGUGAAAGUUUGCGGCUCAACCGUAAAAUUGCACUUGAUACUUGCAGUCUUGCGUACAGUUGAGGUCGGCGGAAUUCGUGGUGUAGCUG